GGGUGGCUCGGGGUCCGGGCGCAGGGACCGGGACGCGCAAGGACUAGAGCGUGCGGGGACUGGGGCGGGGAGGGGGGGGGCACGGGGUCCCGGGCUCCUGUCCCGCGACGGCCGCGGGGGCGGAAGCGGGGGCUGGAGGUGCCAGGGACCAAAAACUCUUAGACGCUGAGCCUCCGCCCGCAUCCCACGAGUCUGGUGUUAAUUGGUGGCCACAUCUCCAAUCAUUACGUUAACUCCGGAUACGGUGUGGAUCCUAAACCCUUUUUUCCUCCAAGUUAUCAUCAUUGGUUAGUUGGUUUCCUUCCUUUGAGGUCGAGAAUUUAAAGAAGUCCAUUGAAGUUCCCCAUUUUGCAGUGUGGUCUUAAAGUAUUUCUUAACCCGACUACUAGGUUAACCUAACCUACCAGAGACAACGGACAGCGUGUAUACUCGGGAGUGGAGAAUUUCCGGGGUUUGCUCUCCGAGAGAUGCUUGUCAGCCACAACUGGCCAGAUGUGGCUUCGUGGAACAGGCAACGAAGACCUCACUUACAGAGCCACGUCUUGGUGCUGCCGUCGUGAAUGUAGCCGCGAGUGGCACAGCCCCCCUCCCCCGUUUGCAAGGAAGAUGAGAAGUGGAGGGGCCGGGAACCCCACACCGGAAAUAACAGGAUCCUCCCUGCGGAUCCCUCACCGCCCUUCUUCGGUCCUGCUUCCCAGAGGAUCUGGGCUGUUAGGACUAACAAUUCUCGUAGGAAGUAGGUCUAGGCUCCGUACCACGUGGCGUGAGGACGUCCAGUCGGCCCCAUCUGGUGCUGUUUUCGGGAACACGCUGCCACACCCUGGUUGCUGCAGAAAACUUUUCAUCAGGUGGAAAUCCCCCGGGGGCCACCUGAUAGCACAUUUCUACGGAGGUCUGAUCUGAAUCGUUUCUGUUCACGCCGAAGCGGACUUCAUGGUGACCGUGAGGGAACAGCUGUGUCCGUCUCGAUACUGACUGUCUUCAUUUUUAUUUGAAACACAUUCGUGUAUAUCUGUAGCACUUCCCUGGUUUUUCUCAGCGUCUCGCUAGCACAAGGGGAGGCUUUGAAUGAAUUGAUCCAAAUACCACGCUCUCCUCAGCCUUAACGGAAUCUCUUAAUCCAUGUAGUAUGAAUAUGUGAUUUUUUUUUUUCUGCCCAAAUACUCAUGCUACAUGCUCCUGAGAGCUGCUGGGUCAGUACUCGAGCCGACUCUGCGACCUCCAGGUAACCCGUGUUGGCAUCACACACCAUCCGUCUGAGAGAAUCACACGGAUUUUUAGUCAUUUAUGUCGGUGUGUGUUCUGAGUAAAAUGCAACAUACUACUGCGCUCCAAACAGGUUUUAGGUUGUACAUUUAGGAUGUUCUUGCUUCAAAUAAAGUGAAGAAACUUAAAAUAA